rnacentral:rRNA from 1 species
GUCUGUGUGAUACAAAUACUAAGUCUGGCCUGCCCACUGAGGUUUUAAAGGGCUGCGGUAAUUUGACCGUGCGAAGGUAGCAUAAUCAAUAGUCUUUUAAUUGAAGGCUUGAAUGAAUGGUCUGACAAGAAAAUAGCUGUCUCAGUUUUUAAAAUUGAAUUUAACAUUUGUGUAAAAAGGCACAAAUACAAUGAAGGGACGAUAAGACCCUAUAAAACUUUAUAUAUAAAUUCUGUGCUUAAAAAUUAGAUAGUAAAUUAAGUAAGGUUUUUAGUAUUUUGCUGGGGCGGCAUGGAUAAAAUAAAAUUAACUGUCUUAUAAAUAAAAUAAUAGUGAUUAGAGGUUGAUCCUUUAGUGAGGAUUAUAAGAUUAAGUUACUUUAGGGAUAACAGCGUGAUUUCUCUUGAGAGUCCUUAUCGACAGAGUUAGUUGCGACCUCGAUGUUGAAUUAAAAUUUCCUUCAAGAGUAGAAGCUUGAGUGGUAGGUCUGUUCGACCUUUAAUAAUUUUACAUGAUUUGAGUUCAAACCGGUGUGAG